GCCUGGAUAGUUCAGUUGGCUAGAACAUGGUACCGGUAUUGCCAAGGUUGCAGAUUCGAUGCCUUUAUGGGACA